UUAACUAUUAUAUAGUACUCAGACGACACUAAUAUUCAGAGUUUGGGGUCCUCUGGCAAGCGCUCGCCGGCCGGAGCCAGCAGCCCGAGGGCAGGCCUGCCAAAGCAACAAAGUGUAAUAAACAAAGGGUGGUAGGUUACCCGGGAGGCCUUGCGGCAACCCAGGCGACUACUGUAAUGAUCCUUCCGCAGGUUCACCUACGGAAA
rnacentral:misc_RNA from 1 species